rnacentral:rRNA from 1 species
AUUGAACGCUGGCGGCAUGCCUUACACAUGCAAGUCGAACGGCAGCACGGGAGCUUGCUCCUGGUGGCGAGUGGCGAACGGGUGAGUAAUACAUCGGAACGUACCCUGAAGUGGGGGAUAACGUAGCGAAAGUUACGCUAAUACCGCAUAUUCUGUGAGCAGGAAAGAGGGGGAUCGCAAGACCUCUUGCUUUAGGAGCGGCCGAUGUCGGAUUAGCUAGUUGGUGAGGUAAAGGCUCACCAAGGCGACGAUCCGUAGCGGGUCUGAGAGGAUGAUCCGCCACACUGGGACUGAGACACGGCCCAGACUCCUACGGGAGGCAGCAGUGGGGAAUUUUGGACAAUGGGCGCAAGCCUGAUCCAGCCAUGCCGCGUGAGUGAAGAAGGCCUCGGUGUAAGCCUUCGUGGAGAAU